rnacentral:rRNA from 1 species
AUUGAACGCUGGUGGCAGGCUUAACACAUGCAAGUCGAACGGUAACAGGAAUUAGCUUGCUAAUUUGCUGACGAGUGGCGGACGGGUGAGUAAUGCUUGGGAAUCUGGCUUAUGGAGGGGGAUAACUACGGGAAACUGUAGCUAAUACCGCGUAAAAUCUUCGGAUUAAAGGGUGGGACUUUCGAGCCACCUGCCAUAAGAUGAGCCCAAGUGGGAUUAGGUAGUUGGUUAGGUAAAGGCUGACCAAGCCGACGAUCUCUAGCUGGUCUGAGAGGAUGACCAGCCACACUGGAACUGAGACACGGUCCAGACUCCUACGGGAGGCAGCAGUGGGGAAUAUUGCACAAAGGGGGGAACCCUGAUGCAGCCAUGCCGCGUGAAUGAAGAAGGCCUUCGGGUUGUAAAGUUCUUUCGGUGACGAGGAAGGUUGAUAGGUUAAUAGCCUAUCAAAUUGACGUUAAUCACAGAAGAAGCACCGGCUAACUCCGUG